AAAAAAGCACUCGAUGAACUCAAACAGCUUAUUAAGGAAGCACUUAACAAACGCGAGUUCACCGCUCCUCCAGUUAAGGCACCUGAAGUAACCGCACAAGACGACAAAAAACCUGAAGAAGAAAACAAAACCGAAGAAAAGAAGGAAGAAGUAGUAGCAGAAGAGAAACAGGUUGAAGAAGUAGUCGUUGAAGAGAAAAAAGUUGAAGGAGAAGUUGAAAAGAAAGAAGAAAAAGCUUCAAGUUCCGAGGAACCUAAAACCGAAGCUGAAGCUAAAACCGAACCUGAAGAGAAGAAGGUGGAGGAGACAGUGGUGGAAGUUGUUGAAAAAAUAGCUUCGAGUACUGAAGAAGACGGUGCGAAAACGGUUGAAGCUAUUCAAGAAAGCAUAGUAUCAGUUGCAGUUACUAACGGUGAUGGUGAACAACCUGUUACUGAACUGCCUGUUGCUGUUGAUGUGGAGGUUCCUCCUUCUACACCAGAAGAAGUUGAUUUAUGGGGAAUUCCCUUGCUAGCUGAUGAAAGAAGCGAUGUGAUUCUUCUCAAAUUCCUUCGAGCAAGGGAUUUCAGGUGAAAGGACGCUUUCACGAUGAUCCAAACAAACUGUUCUUUGGAGAAAGGUAAUUAAACAUAGUUUGAUGAGUUAUAGUUUUGUUAUUACUUAGCUAUUAAGUGUGUGUUUGGUUCUGCGGUGGAAAAAUUGAUUUUGACAUGAAUUGAUUUAGUAAAUUUGAUUCUAGUUAAAAGUGAGUUGAAGAUAAAGUAAUUUAUGUUUGGAUAUAUUUACAUAGUAACUGUUUUUCAUAACCUAUUUUGGAUAGCUAUGAUAAUGAAUCAUCAACUAGUUUUCAUAAGUUCUUUCAAAAAAAAGUCUUUCGUGUUAUGCGAUAGAUACAACUCAAAGAAGCUCAAUUACAAAGCAAAUAAAUGAUCAUAGUUUGUUAAUAAGUUGUUAUUAUUUAGUUACUAACUUAUUGUGUCUCUGAUCAAAGGAAUUUGGAAUUGAAGCACUUCUUCAAGAAGAUCUUGGAACUGAUUAGGACAAAGUUGUUUUCACCGAUGGUUAUGACAAAGAAGGUCACCCGGUUUACUACAAUGUUUUUGGCGAGUUUGAGAACAAGGAAUUGUAUCAAAAAAGUUUCUCUGACAACGAGAAGAGAAACAAGUUUAUCCGUUGGAGGAUUCAGUCAUUGGAGAAAAGUGUUAGAAAACUCGACAUUGCUCCAUCUGGAAUCGCUACUAUUGUUCAAAUUAAUGAUCUUAAAAAUUCUCCUGGAUUUGUUAAGAAGGAGCUUAGACAAGCUACUAAUCAGGCACUUCAAUUGCUUCAGGAUAACUACCCCAAAUUUGUUGCCAAACAGGUUAUUAACAGUUAUCUUGAUUUUUUUAAAUAUGUUGGAGUUUUUCAUGUUUAGUGACUAAUAUCGUUGCUUAAUUUGGUGCCUUUUUUUGUUUGUUUCUGUUUGUGUAGAUUUUUAUCAAUGUUCCUUGGUGGUACCUUGCCUUUUCUAGGAUGAUUAGUCCUUUCCUGACACAGAGGACCAAGAGCAAAUUUGUAUUUGCUGGCUCCUCCAAAUCUUCUGAUACCCUUUUCAAGUAAGUCUUCCUUCUCCUUUUUUUAGUGCUUCAUCGUAAAUACGAGUCAUGUUUUUUAGCCCAUAAGAAGUAAGUUAUUGGUUUUAUUAUCACCGCUAUAAGGUUAUAAAUCUGCUAUAAAGCUAGUUUUUUUGCUGCCAUGCUUGAUAUUGUGAAAACUAUGUCAAAUACCACUUAUUCCAACCAACAAGGUUUUAAAUUGCCUACAAAGUAGUUUUACGUUGCUAUUCUUGAUAUUGUGAAAAAUUGAUGUCUAACACCACUCAUGCCAAGGAGUUAAGUCAUAAUUCAAUCCCUGGUGGUAUUGCUAGAGUUUGAUCAAAUACAGUUGGUGUAGCCUCAACUAUAGUUGCGUUUUGGUUGCAGAGACCUAGAAAACCUCGACUUUGUAGUUCAGAUUCCAGUCCUAGAUGCGGCUGCAAUUAUAGUUGCUGAUAAAUUUUGGAUCCUUUGGGAACAUACCUUAUUAAUAUAUCAUUAUUGAUGUUGCUAUUUAGUAAGCUCUUAUUGAUAAAUAUUUGACUGGAACAGAUAUAUAGCUCCUGAGCAAGUGCCAGUUCAAUAUGGGGGACUUAGCAGAGAAGGCGAACAGGAAUUCACCACGGCUGACCCUGCUACAGAGGUUAUUAUCAAACCAGCAACAAAACAUGCUGUUGAGUUCCCAAUUUCUGAGGUGAGAAUAAAAACUUGUUUGAAUCAAACCAGCAACAAAACAUGCUGUUGAGUUCCCAAUUUCUGAGGUGAGAAUAAAAACUUGUUUGAUAAUCAAUCUUAUCAUAGUUUUAAAUUGCGGUUACGCUUACACUGUGAACCUUUAAAUUGUGGUUGUGAUGCUGUUGUGGAGACUUAAAAAAUUAGCAAUAUUGCAGUCGCGAUUACAGUUGCAGACUACAAUUUAAAACCAUGAUCCUUAUGUGCAUAUUUAGUAUUAGUAUGUUGACUGAAUGAUUGAAUGUGCAGAAAAGCACUGUAGUUUGGGAAAUCAGAGUUGUGGAUUGGAAUGUGAGCUAUGGAGCAGAAUUUGUGCCUAGUGCUGAAGAUGGAUACACAGUGAUAGUACAGAAGAACAGGAAAAUCUCACCAGCUGAUGAAACAGUAAUUACCAACACCUUCAAAAUCGGAGAACCUGGUAAAGUUGUACUCACCAUUGAUAACCAAACAUCAAAGAAAAAGAAGCUUCUUUACCGGUCAAAGACCACACCCAUCUCUGAAUAAAAAAGGUUUCAAGAAAAAAUGUCUGAAUUCUUCAUUGACAAAGAGAAUGAUAUACCAAGAUGAAGAAGAAUACUAAGGGUGUUUUGUAUUCAUUAUAAGGAUUAUUAUAACAUUAUUGUGAAAGUUAUUGGGUGGGUUACUUAUAUUCUUUUAUAUAGGGGUAUUUUGUUCAUUUGGGUUGUAAAUUAUUUUUGUUUCAUGUAUGGGGUUGGGAAAUUUUAUUUACAGUUAUUAUUACUUAUUAAUAUCUUCAAUAGUAAUGUGGUGUUUUUUUUCAUUUGAAUUUGAAUUUGAAUCUGAUGAAACCUUUGUUAUGGACUCAAUUGGGGUUCCUUUAUAAAAGAAAAGUUCAUUGUUUUUUUGUCUAUAUUUAUAAUUUAUUUACUGCAUGAGUUUUGUUUGGUCUUAUUUUUAACAAGUGGUUUCACAUAGAUCA
rnacentral:lncRNA from 1 species